rnacentral:rRNA from 1 species
CCUACGGGUGGCAGCAGUGGGGAAUAUUGCGCAAUGGGCGAAAGCCUGAAGCAGCGACGCCGCGUGAGGGAUGAAUGUCUUCUGAGCUGUAACCUCUGUUAGCAGGGAAGUACGGUCACUGUGCUAAUCAGCAGUGAAUUGACGGUACCUGCAAAGGAAGCACCGGCUAACUCCGUGCCAGCAGCCGCGGUAAUACGGAGGGUGCGAGCGUUAAUCGGAAUUACUGGGCGUAAAGCGCUCGUAGGCGGUAUGUCAAGUCAAGGGUGAAAUCCCCGCGCUCAACGGGGGAAUUGCCUUUGAUACUGGCAAACUGGAGUGUGUGAGAGGAUAGUGGAAUUCCAGGUGUAGGAGUGAAAUCCGUAGAUAUCUGGAGGAACAUCAGUGGCGAAGGCGACUAUCUGGCACAUAACUGACGCUGAGGAGCGAAAGCGUGGGUAGCAAACAGGAUUAGAUACCCGUGUAGUC